GAUGAACGCUGGCGGCGUGCCUAACACAUGCAAGUCGAACGGAAAUGGUUGAUGAAGUUUUCGGAUGGAUUCUUUCAUUUUAGUGGCGGACGGGUGAGUAACGCGUGGGUAACCUGCCCUGUACCGGGGGAUAACAUUCAGAAAUGAGUGAUAAUACCGCAUAAGCGCACAGCUUCGCAUGAAGCAGUGUGAAAAACUCCGGUGGUACAGGAUGGACCCGCGUCUGAUUAGCCAGUUGGUGGGGUAACGGCCUACCAAAGCGACGAUCAGUAGCCGGCCUGAGAGGGUGAACGGCCACAUUGGGACUGAGACACGGCCCAGACUCC
rnacentral:rRNA from 1 species